UGGCGCGCGGGAUGCUUUCCAUGCAAGUCGACGGCAGCACGAGAGAGCUUGUUUUUCUUGGUGGCGAGUGGCGAACGGGUGAAAGGGGAGGGGGAACGUGCCCAGUAGCGGGGGAAACUACUUGAAAAAAAGGAAGAAUACCGCAUACGCCCUACGGGGGAAAGGGGGGGAUCGCUAGACCUCUCACUAUUGGAGCGGCCGAUAAGGAUAGAGUAGUUGGUGGGGUAAAGGCUCACCAAGGCAACGAUCCGUACCUGGUUUGAGAGGACGACCAGCCACACUGGGACUGAGACACGGCCCAGACUCCUACGGGAGGCAGCAGUGGGGAAUUUUGGACAAUGGGGGAAACCCUGAUCCAGCCAUCCCGCGUGUAUGAUGAAGGCCUUCGGGUUGUAAAGUACUUUUGGCAGAGAAAAAAAGGCUUCCCCUACUACGGGAUGCUGCUGACGGUAUUUGCAUAUUAAGCACCGGCUAACUACCUGCCAUCUGCCGCGGGAAUACGUACGGUGCAAGCGUUAAUCGGAAUUACUGGGCGUACAGCGUGUGUAGGCGGUUCGGAACGAAAGAUGUGAAAUCCCAGGGCUCAACCUUGGAACUGCAUUUUUACCUGCCGAGCUAGAGUAUGUCAGAGGGCGGUAGAAUUCCCACGUGUAGCAGUGAAAUGCCCUAGAUAU
rnacentral:rRNA from 1 species